rnacentral:rRNA from 1 species
AUUGAACGCUGGCGGCAUGCCUUACACAUGCAAGUCGAACGGCAGCACGGGUGCUUGCACCUGGUGGCGAGUGGCGAACGGGUGAGUAAUACAUCGGAACGUACCUUAUCGUGGGGGAUAACGCAGCGAAAGUUGCGCUAAUACCGCAUACGCCCUGAGGGGGAAAGCGGGGGACCGUGAGGCCUCGCGCGAUUAGAGCGGCCGAUGUCUGAUUAGCUUGUUGGUGAGGUAAAAGCUCACCAAGGCGAUGAUCAGUAGCUGGUCUGAGAGGACGAGCAGCCACACUGGGACUGAGACACGGCCCAGACUCCUACGGGAGGAAGCAGUGGGGAAUUUUGGACAAUGGGGGCAACCCUGAUCCAGCAAUGCCGCGUGAGUGAAGAAGGCCUUCGGGUUGUAAAGCUCUUUUGUCAGGGAAGAAACAGCAGCUCUAACACAGUCUGCGAAUGACGGUACCUGAAGAAUAAGCACCGGCUAACUACGUGCCAGCCGCCGCCGUAA